ACACUGCUGACGAGUCCAAUACUAGGACGAAACGACCGUCUAGUGC
rfam:Schistosoma mattheei strain Denwood, Zambia genome assembly, scaffold: SMTD_scaffold0009936